UAAUGUAUGGGGAUCUGCCCGAUAGAGGGGGAUAACUACUGGAAACGGUGGCUAAUACCGCAUAACGUCGCAAGACCAAAGUGGGGGACCUUCGGGCCUCAUGCCAUCAGAUGUGCCCAGAUGGGAUUAGCUAGUAGGUGGGGUAAUGGCUCACCUAGGCGACGAUCCCUAGCUGGUCUGAGAGGAUGACCAGCCACACUGGAACUGAGACACGGUCCAG
rnacentral:rRNA from 1 species